UCAGUGAUUGCUGAGUUAAAGCUUAACAGCGUAAAAAUCACCGCCGGACAUGAUCGAAGAG
rnacentral:sRNA from 1 species